rnacentral:rRNA from 1 species
AUGCACGCUGGCGGCGUGCCUAAUCCCUGCCAGUCGAGCGAACGGACGAGAAGCUUGCUUCUCUGAUGUUAGCGGCGGACGGGUGAGUAACACGUGGAUAACCUACCUAUAAGACUGGGAUAACUUUGGGAAACCGGAGCUAAUACCGGAUAAUAUUUUGAACCGCAUGGUUCAAAAGUGAAAGACGGUCUUGCUGUCACUUAUAGAUGGAUCCGCGCUGCAUUAGCUAGUUGGUAAGGUAACGGCUUACCAAGGCAACGAUGCAUAGCCGACCUGAGAGGGUGAUCGGCCACACUGGGACUGAGACACGGUCCAGACUCCUACGGGAGGCAGCAGUAGGGAAUCUUCCGCAAUGGGCGAAAGCCUGACGGAGCAACGCCGCGUGAGUGAUGAAGGUCUUCGGAUCGUAAAACUCUGUUAUUAGGGAAGAACAUAUGUGUAAGUAACUGUGCACAUCUUGACGGUACCUAAUCAGAAAGCCACGGCUAACUACGUG